rnacentral:rRNA from 1 species
GCCCUUUCCUACGGGAAGGCAGCAGUAAGGAAUAUUGGUCAAUGGAGGCAACUCUGAACCAGCCAUGCCGCGUGCAGGAAGACAGCCCUCUGGGUCGUAAACUGCUUUUAUUCGGGAAUAAACCUUAUUACGUGUAAUAAGCUGAAUGUACCGAAGGAAUAAGGAUCGGCUAACUCCGUGCCAGCAGCCGCGGUAAUACGGAGGAUCCAAGCGUUAUCCGGAUUUAUUGGGUUUAAAGGGUGCGUAGGCGGCUUAUUAAGUCAGGGGUGAAAGACGGUGGCUCAACCAUCGCAGUGCCUUUGAUACUGAUGAGCUUGAAUGAACUAGAGGUAGGCGGAAUGUGACAAGUAGCGGUGAAAUGCAUAGAUAUGUCACAGAACACCGAUUGCGAAGGCAGCUUACUAUGGUUUUAUUGACGCUGAGGCACGAAAGCGUGGGGAUCAAACAGGAUUAGAUACCCUGGUAGUCCACGCCCUAAACGAUGAAUACUCGCUGUUAGCGAUAUACAGUUAGCGGCUAAGCGAAAGCGUUAAGUAUUCCACCUGGGGAGUACGCCCGCAAGGGUGAAACUCAAAGGAAUUGACGG